GAUGGGAGCUUGCUCCCUGAUGUUAGCGGCGGACGGGUGAGUAACACGUGGGUAACCUGCCUGUAAGACUGGGAUAACUCCGGGAAACCGGGGCUAAUACCGGAUGGUUGUUUGAACCGCAUGGUUCAGACAUAAAAGGUGGCUUCGGCUACCACUUACAGAUGGACCCGCGGCGCAUUAGCUAGUUGGUGAGGUAACGGCUCACCAAGGCGACGAUGCGUAGCCGACCUGAGAGGGUGAUCGGCCACACUGGGACUGAGACACGGCCCAGACUCCUACGGGAGGCAGCAGUAGGGAAUCUUCCGCAAUGGACGAAAGUCUGACGGAGCAACGCCGCGUGAGUGAUGAAGGUUUUCGGAUCGUAAAGCUCUGUUGUUAGGGAAGAACAAGUGCCGUUCAAAUAGGGCGGCACCUUGACGGUACCUAACCAGAAAGCCACGGCUAACUACGUGCCAGCAGCCGCGGUAAUACGUAGGUGGCAAGCGUUGUCCGGAAUUAUUGGGCGUAAAGGGCUCGCAGGCGGUUUCUUAAGUCUGAUGUGAAAGCCCCCGGCUCAACCGGGGAGGGUCAUUGGAAACUGGGGAACUUGAGUGCAGAAGAGGAGAGUGGAAUUCCACGUGUAGCGGUGAAAUGCGUAGAGAUGUGGAGGAACACCAGUGGCGAAGGCGACUCUCUGGUCUGUAACUGACGCUGAGGAGCGAAAGCGUGGGGAGCGAACAGGAUUAGAUACCCUGGUAGUCCACGCCGUAAACGAUGAGUGCUAAGUGUUAGGGGGUUUCCGCCCCUUAGUGCUGCAGCUAACGCAUUAAGCACUCCGCCUGGGGAGUACGGUCGCAAGACUGAAACUCAAAGGAAUUGACGGGGGCCCGCACAAGCGGUGGAGCAUGUGGUUUAAUUCGAAGCAACGCGAAGAACCUUACCAGGUCUUGACAUCCUCUGACAAUCCUAGAGAUAGGACGUCCCCUUCGGGGGCAGAGUGACAGGUGGUGCAUGGUUGUCGUCAGCUCGUGUCGUGAGAUGUUGGGUUAAGUCCCGCAACGAGCGCAACCCUUGAUCUUAGUUGCCAGCAUUCAGUUGGGCACUCUAAGGUGACUGCCGGUGACAAACCGGAGGAAGGUGGGGAUGACGUCAAAUCAUCAUGCCCCUUAUGACCUGGGCUACACACGUGCUACAAUGGACAGAACAAAGGGCAGCGAAACCGCGAGGUUAAGCCAAUCCCACAAAUCUGUUCUCAGUUCGGAUCGCAGUCUGCAACUCGACUGCGUGAAGCUGGAAUCGCUAGUAAUCGCGGAUCAGCAUGCCGCGGUGAAUACGUUCCC
rnacentral:rRNA from 1 species